CAGACCUAGUAGGAGACAUACUUAUAACUCUACAUCUGUACAGCUUAGGUUGAACACCGCUGCUCUAGUGCCUUGGCAGGUGCUGCUGUGAUAAAAGAUUGGUCUGUGAUAGAUACACAUUCGAGGACUUCACGUAAGACCAAGCUAUAGGAUAAUGAUCCAGAGUCGUGGCUGGUACAGGAGGCGUGCCCUGUACUGGAGAGUGAGGUAUCACAGAAAAGUGUGAGCAGCAAUUGAAGGCCCCACUGGGAUUGAAGGAAAACAGCUGCGUUCUGCCGUCUGUAAACUCACCCACGAACGUCUUGGGUAGGUAAUAAGCCCAUAGGAGUCACCCCACGAGAAAACUGGCCAGUUUCGAAGUGUGCAAAUGUGCAGGUAUGCUAAGGGGGCGAAUUAGCUUGGUUUUUAGAAGAAUGGGUGCCAAAAGAUCUGAUCCGGAGCUAAAAGGCCAGUGGGCAGAUCAGCUGCUGGAUUUUGUGAAGAGGCUAGGCACCAGGAUCAAAGGUGGCACAGCACAGGAGAUCCUAUAGACGAAGACAGGGCCCUACACUUGUUCCUACAUCACUGUGAGGGAAACCAGAUGCCACAUUAUAAGGAUAUUUAAACAAGCUUGUCAGUGUUACAGCAGGAGAGAAACUGAGUCUACUUGUCAAGAACCAGUGUUAACUGGCGAACCGUGUAAAUCAGCUCCUCUGCGUAGACCUUUCAGCUUCUGAUGUGUUUUAAUUGACAGUUCCUGGCUCAUCUCUUGAUGUUAGUAGCCCAAGAAGAGAGCAUAUCUCUAAUAACCUCCAGAACUUUAUAACCUCCAGAAACAAUAUGAGUUUGGAAAUGUUUUGUUUUAAGAGGUUAUUUCGGACUAUUUUGCAACAAUUUAAGACUUACGCUCAAACAAAUCAGUAGGAUUAAUACUCCUCUCA